AUCCAUCAACUCGCUGUAAGGGUCUGAAGAUGCGCUGCAGGGCUCCAAUACUCCCCAAGCAACCACAGCUUCGAGCUGCCCGCCCUUCCCGCUCGCCUCGACUCGCUCCAGUUCCUCCUCCCGAUCUUCAUCAGUUGGACGAACAGGCUCGCGACCGGCAGCUUGCGGCGGACUCGAAGCUGGCGAAAAGAGUUUGCAGUGGUGUGUUUAUUCGGAGCAGCUGCUCACGCAACCGACGCAGGAUCGGCCGGCCCGCUUCGACCUCGACGCACCUUCCUUCUCCCUCGACCUGCCCCUCGCUCGCGCCUCGCCCGGGGCUUUGCGUGCGAACGUGGCCACGUUGCUACUGUAUGAAGCUUCGACCUACUAUUGAGGUGCUCACAGAAACCGACACGUACAAGCUCAUCCGCCGAGCGCUUCUUGGAGGUUCCCGUUUGCAGUCCACUUGACGAAGCAGACGACGCAGGCGACCCCGGACCACAACAAGCAGUCGUCGCUCGACAAGGAAUGGACGGCUCGUUCUUCGACUCGAACGGGAUGGGAUCUGAUGCUCGCGACAGGUGUAUCCGGGACGCGAAGGGCCUCGGCAAGGACGGUUACGACCAGACUAGCUUCAACAAGGACAGCAAGAACCGCAACGAGGCGUUCGAGUGUCGCUUUUCUUCUCGCUUUACUCUCGCUGACCAUCCCUCAUCCUCGCACAGGCCUCGCUCAGCGCGGCUACGACGCCUCGGGCGAGUACGUCAUGUCGACGUCACAAGCGGGAGCUAUCGACGCGAAAAGCGGGAGUUAUCGCGCAACAUUCGGGUCGAACCUUUCCUCGACAGUCGUCUCUCCUCACUGCUUUCGCUUCUCCCUUCCUCCCCCUCUUCUCACAUGUGCCGCCCGUUCCAACCGCGGUGCGGGAUCCUCCUUUCUCUCCGUCGUAGCUCUUUGUCGUGCAUUGUUCGUUGGAACGCAGCUUUCGCUCCUCGUCUGGC
rnacentral:misc_RNA from 1 species